GACGUAGGGGGCUAGCGUUGUCCGGAAUCACUGGGCUUAAAGGGUGCGUAGGCGGCUCGGCAAGUUGGGUGUGAAAGCCCUCGGCUCAACCGAGGAAUUGCGCCCAAAACUGCCGGGCUAGAGGGAGACAGAGGUGAGCGGAACUUAGGGUGGAGCGGUGAAAUGCUUUGAUAUCCUAAGGAACACCGGUAGCGAAAGCGGCUCACUGGGUCUUUUCUGACGCUGAGGCACGAAAGCUAGGGGAGCGAACGGG
rnacentral:rRNA from 1 species